AUUGAAUGAUGGCGGCAGGCCUAACACAUGCAAGUCGAACGAGUGGCGGACGGGUGAGUAAUGGCUGGGAAACUGACUGAUGGAGGGGGAUAACUACUGGAAAGGGUAGCUAAUACCGCAUACCAUCAGAUGUGCCCAGAUGGGAUUAGCUAGUUGGUGGGGUAACGGCUCACCAAGGCGACGAUCCCGAGCUGGUCUGAGAGGAUGACCAGCCACACUGGAACGGAGACACGGUCCAGACUCCUACGGGAGGCAGCAGUGGGGAAUAUUGCACAAUGGGCGCAAGCCUGAUGCAGCCAUGCCGCGUGUAUGAAGAAGGCCUUCGGGUUGUAAAGUACUUUCAGCGGGGAGGCGUUACCCGCAGAAGAAGCACCGGCUAACUCCGUGCCAGCAGCCGCGGUAAUUC
rnacentral:rRNA from 1 species